CAAAUCAUUAUUAGAUUCUGAGACUGUGUGUUUAUUGUGGUAAUUUACAGAAAGUGGAGAAAUUCCCCAAGAAAAGAAAAAAGAAAAGCUUGAAGCUUUAUUGGAUUCUUUGGUUGAUCACAAAAAUAAUGGAGCUUUGAUUGGAGAUAAAAAGUAUGAGAACUGUUGUGGCUAGAUUGUCUUGUUUUCAAUGCCCUUUCCUUUAUUCACCUAAUGGUGAAAUGUGUGAUUCCUUCUCCCAGUUUCAAUUUCUCCUUUUCUUUGCUUAUUAAUUAUUUUUUUGAAUAUGAUGAGUCCGUCAUUCUCUUAGGUUAUUUCUGGUUGAUUCUGAUAUUGCAAAUAGGCUGAUCAAGAUACAUAAUUCAUUCUGAUUGAACAAAGACAAAGUGGUAUACUGUAUAUAGAGGUGUUUUUGUUUCCCCCUAUUUUCUAUGUGACUUAGUAAAAGGAAAAACAAGAACCAUUUUUUAGUUGAUGGUCAUGGCAUGAAGGAUAGAAUUUAAGUUUGUAAAUGGAUGUAGAUAAUAUGGGAAUUUUACCACUGCUUUAAUUUCUUCACUUUUUGGUUUAAAGGAUGGUGACCAAACUAAAUGAUGUCUCUUUAUUGGGACUAAGGGAUUAUAAUUGCAAUAAUUUAUUUCUUUUUAAAAAAAGCUCAUGGUUUUGUGUUUACUAUAGUGGGGUGUUGGGAUGCAACAGAAACUGUGUUAGUUGACUGCAAUUUAUGGUAAUAACAGAAAACAAAUUCAGUUGAUCUGCCCCUACUGAAAGAAAGAUAAAAAAGCAAGGGAAAGAAAGGAAAGGAAUACUUCGCCUGCAAGUUCUAGCUAUUUCCUUGUCAAAUGAGCUUAGUUCGUUGUUGUUGGUGUUGGUGUUGUGGAGGCGCAUAAUAAGGUAUAUCUAGAGCUAUUUAUUGUUGAUAGCAGAAGUAUUUCACUUCUCUUUGCCGUUGCAAUCAGUCCAGUGGGAAAAGUUUUGGAAUUUCGCAUGUUACACAUGCAGGUUCUGAUAAGCCCACCACUGGAGUCAUAGACAGAAGAAAAAUAAGUAUUUACGUAACAUUUGUUGAUGCUGCAAAGAUUUCUUGAAGCAUAAGACUCCCUGAUGUCAUUAGCCAAUAAACAGAUUCAAGGCAAAUGUUGUAAGCAGUUGGCUUGAGUUGUGUUUAAACAUAUGAAAGUGGUUUUUGCCGUGUUAGGUGAAUUUAUUAUUUAUGUGAAUCUAAGUUUUUAACAGGCUGGUUUGUAUUUGACUAACCUUCAAAUAAGAAGUAUGCCAAAUUACCCAUGAAGUAAGGCACAAUUAUCAAAUUACCCUUCGUUAUGCAAUCAAAAGCAACUCUUCUUUCUUAUA